rnacentral:lncRNA from 1 species
UAUAUGUAUGUUCAGAUAUAUCAACAAAUGAUCCUCUCUACAGUACGUAGUCUUCUCAUCAGUGGCCUGGACCUCUGGGACUGGGGCCAUGCGACAACUUCGCCAUCCACCUCGCCAGCGAGGGUGGCUCUUCCCUUCCCUUCUCGUCCGUGCUCGCGCACGCCAUGUAGCUCCACCCGCCGGUGCAGUCAGGCGCCGGCCUCGCUGCAUCAGCUCUCUUCAUGAUCGACACGACGGUGAUCGAGACGACGACGAAGACGACGAUGAGAGAGAGCGCAGGAGCCGUCUGUGGCCUCAUAUGUCGCUGGCUUCUACGAAGAGAGGAGGAAAGUGAAGGUGGCUUGCACUGCUACGAGUGUCCUGGGGAUAUGUAUAUAUAUAUAUAGGUUGACGACGAUGGUUGUAGCUGAAGAGUACUGCCAAGUGUUUGAUCUGCGACGGCGUUUAGGAGGAGAGCA